rnacentral:rRNA from 1 species
UACGUAGGGGCCUAGCGUUGUCCGGAAUUAUUGGGCGUAAAGAGCUCGUAGGCGGUUCGGCAAGUCGGAUGUGAAAUCUCCACGCUUAACGUGGAGGGGCCAUUCGAAACUGCUGUGACUGGAGUCCGGUAGGGGAGUGUGGAAUUCCCGGUGUAGCGGUGAAAUGCGCAGAUAUCGGGAGGAACACCAGUGGCGAAGGCGGGUCUCUGGACAGUUCCUGACACUGAGACACGAAGGCCAGGGGAGCAAACGGG